CUGUUCAGCAGCAUCCACGGUCAGGGGAGGAGAUGGGGUUCCAGGCUCAGCUCCUCUGUUCUCUGUUGCUCUGGAUCUCAGGUGCGAGAGGGGCCAUUGUGGUGACUCAGUCUCCAGAAUUUUUGUCAGUGUCUCCAGGAGAGAGGGUCACCAUUAACUGUAAGACCAGCUCGGGUGUUAGUAAUGAAUUAAAUUGGUACCAGCAGAAGAAGCCAGGGGAGGCUCCCAAGCUCCUAAUUUAUUAUACAAACAACCUGCAAACUGGGGUCCCUGCGCGGUUCAGCGGCAGUGGCUCUGGGACAGAUUUCUCCCUCACAAUCAGCAGAGUGGAGGAAGAGGAUGCUGCAGUCUAUUACUGUCUGCAGCACUAUGGCUCUCCCACAGUGAUACAGCCCAGAACAAAAACCUGCCCAGCAGCUGCUGAGGGAGGUGUCAAUGCCCCAGGGGCUUCUCCUUUCCCUCAGCUGGGAUGGGGACAGUGUGUCUGGGCUGCCUUGGGGGGUGGAGGUUUCCAGGUCUCAGAGGAAGGUGCUGAGGCUAUGUAAGUGCCAACCUUGAU